CAGAUUUUUAAUGUAACUCAAAAUGAAGCAAUAGAUUAUUUAGAAAUUCAGAACCCCCGUGUUAUCUUUAUAUAUUAUGGUGUAAAAUUUUGAAGCCGGCCGAGGGACUGGGUAACUCCCGAAGUACAUUAUAACAUGAACAAGUAUUCUGUUUACUCUACUAAAAGCAUAAAGCCAUGUGUAUCGGCGCCGACAUGCAGUGUACAUCGGCACAGACCGAGACCAGCGCCCUGUCCAGAACCUGAUAAAUGUUACAAAAAAUGCAUCAAGCGCAAAAGCAAGUGCCCUAGUGCUAUGGACACCGUCACACGGGCGGGUUCUCCAUGCGAAUGCGCUAGAGUUCAAUCCAAAGAUUCUAGAGUCAGUAACAAAGUCACUAACAAAACCCACAAGAAGAGAAUUCGAAAGGCAUACAAGCAACGGUCGCUUGAAUCUCGUUGGCGCCGGCAACGCAAGUGUUGUGUUAUUUUAUAAUCUUCGUAUUACUUAAAAAAAUUUACCAAUCAUUAAAAACUGACACAACUAUAGA